GAUGAAGAACGCAGCGAAAUGCGAUACGUAAUGUGAAUUGCAGAAUUCAGUGAAUCAUCGAAUCUUUGAACGCACAUUGCGCCCGCCAGCACUCUGGCGGGCAUGCCUGUUCGAGCGUCAUUUCAACCAUCAAGCCCCCGGCUUGUGUUGGGGACCUGCGGCUGCCGCAGGCCCUGAAAACCAGUGGCGGGCUCGCUGUCACACCGAGCGUAGUAGAUUUUCAUCUCGCUCAGGGCGUGCUGCGGGUUCCGGCCGUAAAAAGCCUUAUUUACCCAAGGUUGACCUCGGAUCAGGUAGGAAGACCCGCUGAACUUAAGCAUAUCAAUAAGCGGAGGA
rnacentral:misc_RNA from 1 species